rnacentral:rRNA from 1 species
AGUGAACGCUGGCGGUAGGCCUAACACAUGCAAGUCGAACGGCAGCACAGUAAGAGCUUGCUCUUACGGGUGGCGAGUGGCGGACGGGUGAGGAAUACAUCGGAAUCUACUUUUUCGUGGGGGAUAACGUAGGGAAACUUACGCUAAUACCGCAUACGACCUACGGGUGAAAGCAGGGGAUCUUCGACCUUGCGCGAUUGAAUUAGCCGAUGUCGGAUUAGCUAGUUGGCGGGGUAAAGGCCCACCAAGGCGACGAUCCGUAGCUGGUCUGAGAGGAUGAUCAGCCACACUGGAACUGAGACACGGUCCAGACUCCUAUGGGAGGCAGCAGUGGGGAAUAUUGGACAAUGGGCGCAAGCCUGAUCCAGCCAUACCGCGUGGGUGAAGAAGGCCUUCGGGUUGUAAAGCCCUUUUGUUGGGAAAGAAAAGCAGCAGGUUAAUACCCCGCUGUUCUGACGGUACCCAAAGAAUAAGCACCGGCUAACUUCGUG